GCCUAACACAUGCAAGUCGAACGAGAUUUCUUUUUUGUUUUCAAAGAAGAAAUUGCAGUGGCGGACGGGUGAGGAACACGUAAGAACUUACCUUUUGGCGGGGGAUAACAACGGGAAACUGUUGCUAAUACCCCAUAAUGCUGAGGAGCGAAAGGGAAACUGCCAAGAGAGAGGCUUGCGUCUGAUUAGCUAGUUGGAGGAGGUAAAGGCUCCCCAAGGCGACGAUCAGUAGCUGGUCUGAGAGGAUGAUCAGCCACACUGGGACUGAGACACGGCCCAGACUCCUACGGGAGGCAGCAGUGGGGAAUUUUCCACAAUGGGCGAAAGCCUGAUGGAGCAAUACCGCGUGAGGGAUGAAGGAUCGUGGUUCGUAAACCUCUUUUCUUAAGGAAGAAAUCAAUGACGGUACUUAAGGAAUAAGCACCGGCUAACUCCGUGCCAGCCGCCGCAGUAAAAC
rnacentral:rRNA from 1 species